CUUUUCUAAUGUGAUUUUGUUUACUUUUAUCAUUUUUUGAGAUCAUGUCUCUGUGCAGUUCUGAACUCCAACCCCUGUGAACAAAUAAAGGUUUUGGUUCAAAAUUGAUGGCUUGAUUAUUUUCUUGCAUGAAAAGAAUUUGAUAAUGAAUAUAAACCUAGCUAUUAAGUUUAAUAAGAUAAUAUUAAACUUCCACAUGUAAAAACUAAAAUUUUCUGCACAACAUUGUUGGUUGAUAC
rnacentral:lncRNA from 1 species